rnacentral:RNase_P_RNA from 1 species
AGUUGGCUGUGUGGUCGCAGGCUAAGGGUAAUUCUUUAGCGUGAGGAAAGUCCGGGCUUCACAGAACAGGGUGCUGGAAUAUAAACUCCAGUGAGGGUAACCUUAAGGAAAGUGCAACAGAAAUAAACUACCUUUUUUAAAAAGGCAAAGUUGGAAAGGCGGAGUAAGAGCCCACCGACCUGCUAGUGAUAGCAGGUGCCAUGUAAACCCCACCCGAAGUAAGGCUAAAAGAAAUUGUUUUAAAGUUGUUCGCUAAAUUUCUUAAAAAUGUCGCUUGUGCUCACUUGGUAACAAUGGGCCUAGAUAGAUGACCACAUGAAAAACAGAACUCGGCUUACAGGCCAAGC